GAGUUUGUGAGUCUUCCGGGAACGUUAGACUUCGGUAUUGGAGGGGCGGACUUGGAGGUCAAAAAAGCUGGUGGGGUUAUUUUUCCUGGAGGGGGAAAAUGAAGAAAGCAAAGCGGAGGAAAGCUGCUGUCUUCUGGAAAUAAAGACAAAAGCUCGGGUUUGGCCUCACCCUCCUUAGUAAAGAUGAGCCUCCGGGGCUUUGCAGUGGAUCUGCCAUUUUUCUAGGGGGGGGGCUGCAUGUCAGGUCCUCAAUGAAAUGUAUUGUUCCCCUUCUAAUAGUUUACCUGCUUUGGUAACCAUUUUUUGUAACCUGCCAUUCUGUUGGGAGGGGGGAUACAUUGGGAUGCUUUGCAUUGUCUUGCCACUGUGUCCUUCCCCCAGGAGAAAGAAGGCAUCACCCAUAUCUGGGAAAUGGUUUGCACUUGGAGCCAGAAGGAAAUGAAAUCGAGAGAGACCUUGAAGAGCAUGCCAAUGGAGCCAGUUACCAAAACAAUAUGCCACCUGUGGAUUGGCUGGAAUUCCAACAAGCACUGGGACCCUGGGGGGAAGAGUAAUAAUAUUGCUUUUAAUAUACUGCUUGCGCAAAUUUUCCCCCAGACUUCCCAUUGAAUCCCUGCUGUCACUAGCCCCUAAUAAAAGUUCCUUUUGAGACAA